AUUGAACGCUGGCGGCAUGCCUUACACACGCAAGUCGAACGGCAGCACGGGUGCUUGCACCUGGUGGCGAGUGGCGAACGGGUGAGUAAUACAUCGGAACAUGUCCUGUAGUGGGGGAUAGCCCGGCGAAAGCCGGAUUAAUACCGCAUACGAUCUACGGAUGAAAGCGGGGGACCUUCGGGCCUCGCGCUAUCGGGUUGGCCGAUGGCUGAUUAGCUAGUUGGUGGGGUAAAGGCCUACCAAGGCGACGAUCAGUAGCUGGUCUGAGAGGACGACCAGCCACACUGGGACUGAGACACGGCCCAGACUCCUACGGGAGGCAGCAGUGGGGAAUUUUGGACAAUGGGCGAAAGCCUGAUCCAGCAAUGCCGCGUGUGUGAAGAAGGCCUUCGGGUUGUAAAGCACUUUUGUCCGGAAAGAAAUCCUUGGCCCUAAUACGGUCGGGGGAUGACGGUACCGGAAGAAUAAGCACCGGCUAACUACGUG
rnacentral:rRNA from 1 species